rnacentral:rRNA from 1 species
UUAAGCGACUAAGCGUACACGGUGGAUGCCCUGGCAGUCAGAGGCGAUGAAGGACGUGCUAAUCUGCGAUAAGCGUCGGUAAGGUGAUAUGAACCGUUAUAACCGGCGAUUUCCGAAUGGGGAAACCCAGUGUGUUUCGACACACUAUCAUUAACUGAAUCCAUAGGUUAAUGAGGCGAACCGGGGGAACUGAAACAUCUAAGUACCCCGAGGAAAAGAAAUCAACCGAGAUUCCCCCAGUAGCGGCGAGCGAACGGGGAGCAGCCCAGAGCCUGAAUCAGUGUGUGUGUUAGUGGAAGCGUCUGGAAAGGCGCGCGAUACAGGGUGACAGCCCCGUACACAAAAAUGCACAUGCUGUGAGCUCGAUGAGUAGGGCGGGACACGUGGUAUCCUGUCUGAAUAUGGGGGGACCAUCCUCCAAGGCUAAAUACUCCUGACUGACCGAUAGUGAACCAGUACCGUGAGGGAAAGGCGAAAAGAACCCCGGCGAGGGGAGUGAAAAAGAACCUGAAACCGUGUACGUACAAGCAGUGGGAGCACGCUUAGGCGUGUGACUGCGUACCUUUUGUAUAAUGGGUCAGCGACUUAUAUUCUGUAGCAAGGUUAACCGAAUAGGGGAGCCGAAGGGAAACCGAGUCUUAACUGGGCGUUAAGUUGCAGGGUAUAGACCCGAAACCCGGUGAUCUAGCCAUGGGCAGGUUGAAGGUUGGGUAACACUAACUGGAGGACCGAACCGACUAAUGUUGAAAAAUUAGCGGAUGACUUGUGGCUGGGGGUGAAAGGCCAAUCAAACCGGGAGAUAGCUGGUUCUCCCCGAAAGCUAUUUAGGUAGCGCCUCGUGAAUUCAUCUCCGGGGGUAGAGCACUGUUUCGGCAAGGGGGUCAUCCCGACUUACCAACCCGAUGCAAACUGCGAAUACCGGAGAAUGUUAUCACGGGAGACACACGGCGGGUGCUAACGUCCGUCGUGAAGAGGGAAACAACCCAGACCGCCAGCUAAGGUCCCAAAGUCAUGGUUAAGUGGGAAACGAUGUGGGAAGGCCCAGACAGCCAGGAUGUUGGCUUAGAAGCAGCCAUCAUUUAAAGAAAGCGUAAUAGCUCACUGGUCGAGUCGGCCUGCGCGGAAGAUGUAACGGGGCUAAACCAUGCACCGAAGCUGCGGCAGCGACGCUUAUGCGUUGUUGGGUAGGGGAGCGUUCUGUAAGCCUGCGAAGGUGUGCUGUGAGGCAUGCUGGAGGUAUCAGAAGUGCGAAUGCUGACAUAAGUAACGAUAAAGCGGGUGAAAAGCCCGCUCGCCGGAAGACCAAGGGUUCCUGUCCAACGUUAAUCGGGGCAGGGUGAGUCGACCCCUAAGGCGAGGCCGAAAGGCGUAGUCGAUGGGAAACAGGUUAAUAUUCCUGUACUUGGUGUUACUGCGAAGGGGGGACGGAGAAGGCUAUGUUGGCCGGGCGACGGUUGUCCCGGUUUAAGCGUGUAGGCUGGUUUUCCAGGCAAAUCCGGAAAAUCAAGGCUGAGGCGUGAUGACGAGGCACUACGGUGCUGAAGCAACAAAUGCCCUGCUUCCAGGAAAAGCCUCUAAGCAUCAGGUAACAUCAAAUCGUACCCCAAACCGACACAGGUGGUCAGGUAGAGAAUACCAAGGCGCUUGAGAGAACUCGGGUGAAGGAACUAGGCAAAAUGGUGCCGUAACUUCGGGAGAAGGCACGCUGAUAUGUAGGUGAAGCGACUUGCUCGUGGAGCUGAAAUCAGUCGAAGAUACCAGCUGGCUGCAACUGUUUAUUAAAAACACAGCACUGUGCAAACACGAAAGUGGACGUAUACGGUGUGACGCCUGCCCGGUGCCGGAAGGUUAAUUGAUGGGGUUAGCGCAAGCGAAGCUCUUGAUCGAAGCCCCGGUAAACGGCGGCCGUAACUAUAACGGUCCUAAGGUAGCGAAAUUCCUUGUCGGGUAAGUUCCGACCUGCACGAAUGGCGUAAUGAUGGCCAGGCUGUCUCCACCCGAGACUCAGUGAAAUUGAACUCGCUGUGAAGAUGCAGUGUACCCGCGGCAAGACGGAAAGACCCCGUGAACCUUUACUAUAGCUUGACACUGAACAUUGAGCCUUGAUGUGUAGGAUAGGUGGGAGGCUUUGAAGUGUGGACGCCAGUCUGCAUGGAGCCGACCUUGAAAUACCACCCUUUAAUGUUUGAUGUUCUAACGUGGACCCGUAAUCCGGGUUGCGGACAGUGUCUGGUGGGUAGUUUGACUGGGGCGGUCUCCUCCUAAAGAGUAACGGAGGAGCACGAAGGUUGGCUAAUCCUGGUCGGACAUCAGGAGGUUAGUGCAAUGGCAUAAGCCAGCUUGACUGCGAGCGUGACGGCGCGAGCAGGUGCGAAAGCAGGUCAUAGUGAUCCGGUGGUUCUGAAUGGAAGGGCCAUCGCUCAACGGAUAAAAGGUACUCCGGGGAUAACAGGCUGAUACCGCCCAAGAGUUCAUAUCGACGGCGGUGUUUGGCACCUCGAUGUCGGCUCAUCACAUCCUGGGGCUGAAGUAGGUCCCAAGGGUAUGGCUGUUCGCCAUUUAAAGUGGUACGCGAGCUGGGUUUAGAACGUCGUGAGACAGUUCGGUCCCUAUCUGCCGUGGGCGCUGGAGAAUUGAGGGGGGCUGCUCCUAGUACGAGAGGACCGGAGUGGACGCAUCACUGGUGUUCGGGUUGUCAUGCCAAUGGCACUGCCCGGUAGCUAAAUGCGGAAGAGAUAAGUGCUGAAAGCAUCUAAGCACGAAACUUGCCCCGAGAUGAGUUCUCCCUGACUCCUUGAGAGUCCUGAAGGAACGUUGAAGACGACGACGUUGAUAGGCCGGGUGUGUAAGCGCAGCGAUGCGUUGAGCUAACCGGUACUAAUGAACCGUGAGGCUUAACCUU